rnacentral:rRNA from 1 species
AUAAAAAACCAAUGCCUUCGGGCUCCUUGGUGAUUCAUGAUAACUUAACGAAUCGCAUGGCCUUGCGCCGGCGAUGGUUCAUUCAAAUUUCUGCCCUAUCAACUUUCGAUGGUAGGAUAGUGGCCUACCAUGGUUUCAACGGGUAACGGGGAAUUAGGGUUCGAUUCCGGAGAGGGAGCCUGAGAAACGGCUACCACAUCCAAGGAAGGCAGCAGGCGCGCAAAUUACCCAAUCCCAACUCGGGGAGGUAGUGACAAUAAAUACUGAUACAGGGCUCUUUUGGGUCUUGUAAUUGGAAUGAGUACAAUUUAAAUCCCUUAACGAGGAACAAUUGGAGGGCAAGUCUGGUGCCAGCAGCCGCGGUAAUUCCAGCUCCAAUAGCGUAUAUUAAAGUUGUUGCAGUUAAAAAGCUCGUAGUUGAACCUUGGGUCUGGCUGCCCGGUCCGCCUAACCGCGUGCACUGGUGCGGCCGGAUCUUUCCUUCUGGCUAACCUCAUGCCCUUUACUGGGUGUGCU